GCCUGCCCAUGCGAGUUGUAAAUGGCAGCAGUAUUUUGACUGUUCAAAGGUAGCAUAAUUAGUUGCCUCAUAAUUGGAGGAUUGUUUGAAUGGUUUGACCAGAGAUGUGGGGAAGAUGAAGACUAUGUUUUGAAUUUGGAUUUUAGGUGCAGAUCCCUAAAGUAUAAUAUAAGACGGAAAGACCCCGAGAUCUUUAUGCUUUGGCGUUUGUUUGGGGCAAAAGUAUAUUGUUUAUGUGCUUUUAGAUCCCUUAGGAAGUAGGUUAAAGUUACCUCGGGGAUAACUAGGUAAAAGGUAAAGAGAGAUCUAAUCGAUUUAUUUAAUUGCCAUCUCGAUGUUGACUUAGGAAAUGUGGAAGGGUGUAGGAGUUCUUUUAUAUGGUCUGUUCGACCGUAGUUUCUUU
rnacentral:rRNA from 1 species